GUCCACGCCGUAAACGAUGGAUACUAGCUGUUGGGGGGCAACUUCAGUGGCUAAGCGAAAGUGAUAAGUAUCCCACCUGGGGAGUACGUUCGCAAGAAUGAAAACUCAAAAGGAAUUGACGGGGGCCCGCACAAGCGGUGGAGCAUGUGGUUUAAUUCGAUGAUACGCGAGGAACCUUACCAAGGCUUAAAUGUAGAUUGACCGGUUUGGAAACAGACUUUUCGCAAGACAAUUUUACAAGGUGACUGCAUGGUUGUCGU
rnacentral:rRNA from 1 species